AUUUGCAGUCACAAGAGGAGGCUCUUUGAGAGGAUCCACUGUGCUGACAAAAAUAUCAAUCGGAGCUAACUGUGAAGGUUCUCCUUCCCUGUCAAAUCUCAAUGCAAGCCUAUCAAGAUAGGUUUCACGGUUCAUAGGGUACCAUUUUGGGAACUGGUCAAGAAGCCAUGACAAAGCGAACCAAAUCUCACAUAUGACAGACGUUAACCACAAAGGAUAGGCAUUUGGUACCGGAUGAGUGGUUCGGUACUGAAAGAAGAACCCGAGGAUAAUAAGUCGCAGAAUAAUAACCACUCGGUAAAGGUUAAGUUGGUUAGAAGGGAUAGGCACUAUACGACUCAUCGGCAAACGAGCAUCAUCAACCAUUUGCAUCUCUUCACCAUUGGAACCAGUUCCUUCCAAGCUGUCUCCUUUUCCAUCGGUGUAUUUGCUGGUCAUUUGCAUCAUAUUUUUGUCUUGUUUGAGUUUCCAGCCUUCA
rnacentral:misc_RNA from 1 species